rnacentral:rRNA from 1 species
UUUAGCAGGGGAGGAAUAUUGGUCAAUAGCCUAACGGCUGAACCAGCAACUAGGAGGAAUGUAUAGCGAUAGCUACUUGCAUCAGUGUAAGGAUGAUGCAAGCUCGACUAUGUUGAAUAAAAUUCUAGGUAGAAUUAUGAUAAUGACAUUGUCUGCCUAUGUGUCUUGACCAAAUUACGUGCCAGCUGUCGCGGUAAUACGUAGAAGACUAGUGUUAUUCAUGUUUAAUCGGUUUAAAGGGUACCUAGACGGUAAAUCAAGCCUACGAAGGAAAAGGAAGGGACUAAUUUACUAGAGUUACUUAUGAGGGGGUUUUAAAGUACUGCUGGUGUAGAGAUGAAAUUCUUUGAUACCUUUUAUGGCACAGGUAUAGGCGAAAGCAUCCCCUUAUGUGAUAACUGACGUUGAGGGACGAAGGCUUUUUGUAGCAAACAGGAUUAGAUACCCUAGUAGUCAAAGCAGAAAAUGAUGAAUGUCAUAGAUUAGAUAUACAAGUUUAUUCUAUAAAUGAAAGUGUAAGCAUUCCACCUCAAGAGUAAUUUGGCAACAUUGGAACUGAAAUCAUUAGACCGUUUCUGAAACCAGUAGUGAAGUAUGUUGUUUAAUUUGAUGAUCCGCAAAAAACCUUACCACAAUUUGAAUAUUUAUAUUUUUUUAGAUAUAUUUACAAGCGUUGCACGGCUGUCUUCAGUUAAUGUCGCGAGAUUCUGGUUAGUUCCAUUAAAUUAAGCGUAAACCCUUACUUUAUUUUUAUAUAG